UCAAGAUGCUUUUAAAGAUAUCUCUAAGCCCUAGGAUAAAGCAAACCACCGAGAUGUUCAAAGAAAUUUUCCACGAGAAACAAAUAUUUUGAUUGUUGACAAUAUUUGUACAUUCGCAGGGCGUGAAAUUGAUUUACAGAAGUGACAAAUCUCGGGGGGACUUAGAUUUGUUGCGAUGCUCCGUGGUGACUGCUCUCCCACUCCACUGGUUAUAUCCUCCUGGAUGGUUCCGCUUUAAUCAGAUAAACAGCCGUGGGCCUUGGAAAACUCGUCUUUGUGUAACACCGCCAAGAGUUUAAACCCCCGAGCCGUUCCGACUCCUCCAUCUGGGAACAAGGCUGAUCUUCAGCGCUUAACUCUGCAUCACAAGUUCAUGGCAAUUGGUUUUGCGUCUGCGUUCUUGAAGGCUGCCCUCAGAUGGAAUUGUUUGGAGUUCAUAUCCCGAGCUUUGCGAGCCCUGGCACCCUUCCUGGCUCGGCGGGUGGCGGUAACACAGCGUUGACUUGGAAACGACCCCUUUGGCGAGUGUUUGCAGGGCUUGCUAGCUUCCGUGUUUUUGGCCAGACAAUACACCACAGCCACAUUAAACACUAACGGAAAACUGCAAGAGCACCAGGACUGGCUUGAGUCGACAAAUACGUCGCUCAGUAACUGCAGUGCUGUUUGCAUGUAGGGCUACAAGAUAUAUCGAAUAUAAAAUUUAUAUCACGAUAUGGCUAAGUGUAGAUCACACUGGCUAUGAUUAAAUCAAUAUAUGACCUACCAGUUUUAAAGUGAAGCUCAAGGUUCAUUUUCUGUGAAUUGAGCUGUUCUGAGACACUGAUAUCAUGAGUGAAACCAGCAGCACAUAUUCUUAUUUGCCAGUAACACGUCAAAAUAAAAGCUUAA